GACGAACGCUGGCGGCGUGCUUAACACAUGCAAGUCGAGCGGGUAAGGCCCUUUCGGGGGUACACGAGCGGCGAACGGGUGAGUAACACGUGGGUGACCUGCCCUCAGCUCUGGGAUAAGCCUGGGAAACCGGGUCUAAUACCGGAUAUGACUCCAUGACGCAUGUUGUGGGGUGGAAAGCCUUGUGCGGCUGAGGAUGGGCCCGCGGCCUAUCAGCUUGUUGGUGGGGUGANGGCCUACCAAGGCGACGACGGGUAGCCGGCCUGAGAGGGCGACCGGCCACACUGGGACUGAGACACGGCCCAGACUCCUACGGGAGGCAGCAGUGGGGAAUCUUGCGCAAUGGGACGAAAGCCUGACGCAGCGACGCCGCGUGAGGGAU
rnacentral:rRNA from 1 species